CUGCUAGGACAGUCUGACAGAGUGACAGUCAGAACAGAGACCUGCUAGGACAGUCUGACAGAGUGACAGUCAGAACAGAGUCCUGCUAGGACAGUCUGACAGAGUGACAGACAGAACAGAGACCUAAUAGGACAGUCUAACACAGUAACAGCUGGCGACAAUUUACAACAAAUAACUCAAUGAGAACAAGUGACACAGGGUGAGAUGAAAGCCCACAACUGGCAAAAUCAUCCAAUGAGAGCCCAGAACUGCAAAACGUAUCCAAUCACAACACAGCUGUGAAACACGGAGACGUGAACUCAGUCCUGUAGUAAAUGCUGGUGGUGAGUGAUUGAUUCAUUUUUACAAAUGUAAUACCCUGUGUUGAAAUACAUUACAUUCACUUCAAUGGGUUUGAAAUUCAUUUCAAUGUGUGUAUACAUUUCAUUUAUUUACAUAUACACUGAGUGUACAAAACAUUAUGAGUGUACAAAAACACCUGUUCUUUCCAUUACGUUUUACUUUUAUUUAACUAGGCAAGUCAGUUAAGAACAAAUUCUUAUUUUCAAUGACGGCCUAGGAACAGUGGGUUAACUGCCUUGUUCAGGGGCAGAACGACAGAUUUGUACCUUGUCAGCUCAGGGAUUCGAUCUUGCAACCUUUUGGUUACUAGUCCAACGCUCUAACCACUAGGCUACCUGCCACCCCUAGACUGACCAGGUGAAAGCUAUUAUCCCUUAUUGAUGUCACUUGUUAAAUCCAUUUCAAUCAGUGAAGGACAGGUUAAAGAAGGAUUUUUAAGACUUGAGACAAUUGAGACAUGGAUUGUGUAUGUGGGACAUUCAGAGGGUGAGUGGGCAAGAAAAAUGUGUCUUUGAACAGGGUAUGGUAGUAGGUGCUGGGCGCACCGUUGUGUCAAGAACUGCAACGUUGCUGGGUUUUUCACGCUCAACAGUUUCCCGUGUGUAUCAAGAAUGGUUAACCAACCAAAGGACAUCCAGCUGACUUGACACAACUGCAUCCCCGUGGAACGCUUUCAACACCUUGUAGAGUCCAUACCCCGACAAAUUGAGGCUGUUCUGAGGGCAAAAGGGUGCAAGUCAAUAUUAGGAAGGUGUUCUUAAUGUUUUGUACACUCAUUGUAUGUCAGUCAGUUUAUGACGUUGACUCCUAUUUUCUCCCCAGUUCUCUGGUGUUUUAGUCAUCACAUUUCUCCUGUUAUUUACCCAAACCUGUCAUGAAUAGGUUAGACCAGGCCUGUCAUGAAUAGGUUAGACCUGGCCUGUCAUGAAUAGGUUAGACCUGGCCUGUCAUGAAUAGGUUAGACCUGGCCUGUCAUGAAUAGGUUAGACCUGGCCUGUCAUGAAUAGGUUAGACCUGUCAGGAAUAGGUUAGACCAGACCUGUCAUGAAUAGGUUAGACCAGACCUGUCAGGAAUAGGUUAGACCAGACCUGUCAGGAAUAGGUUAGACCAGACCUGUCAUGAAUAGGUUAGACCAGACCUGUCAUGAAUAGGUUAGACCUGUCAUGAAUAGGUUAGACCUGUCAUGAAUAGGUUAGACCAGACCUGUAAUGAAUAGGUUAGACCAGUCAUGAAUAGGUUAGACCUGGCCUGUCAUGAAUAGGUUAGACCAGACCUGUCAUGAAUAGGUUAGAUCAGACCUGUCAGGAAUAGGUUAGACCAGACCUGUCAGGAAUAGGUUAGAUCAGACCUGUCAGGAAUAGGUUAGACCAGACCUGUCAGGAAUAGGUUAGACCAGACCUGUCAGGAAUAGGUUAGACCUGUCAUGAAUAUGUUAGACCAGGUGAAGUGAGGGUAGAGGCUGGGCAGGGCUGGGUAUAUCCUGUCAUGAAUAGGUUAGACCAGGUGAAGUGAGGGUAGAGGCUGGGCAGGGCUGGGUAUAUCCUGUCAUGAAUAGGUUAGACCAGGUGAAGUGAGGGUAGAGGCUGGGCAGGGCUGGGUAUAUCCUGUCAUGAAUAGGUUAGACCAGGUGAAGUGAGUGUAGAGGCUGGGCAGGGCUGGGUAUAUCCUGUCAUGAAUAGGUUAGACCAGGUGAAGUGAGGGUAGAGGCUGGGCAGGGCUGGGUAUAACCUGUCAUGAAUAGGUUAGACCAGGUGAAGCGAGG
rnacentral:lncRNA from 1 species